UCUGGUUGGAGAUCCCUCCCUGGUGGAGCUUUGCAAACCUAAAAUCUUCUGAUAUGGAUGAACAAUCUUCUUCCUUUCCUUUAUCGUGUUUUUCUAUUGUGCUGGUUCUUCAGUUAUUAAACCUCUGUUGUAAUGCCUUUCCCAUUGUAUUGGUUUGUCUAAUUGCUACAACAGGCAAACCAUGUCUUGGGAAGAGCCUCACCACCAAGGUUGAAACUGGUUCUGGUUUGGGAUGUGAAAAUGAAGUAAGCGUGGAAGGAAGAGUCAGCUUGCCCUACGAAGGAUGUUGCUGGGGAAAGAUGAGGAGGCAGGCUGAGUGAUGCAGUGAAUGGAUGACAAGGCAGCAGCUCAGAGAUGUGGCUCUGGCAGAAGAUGGCUGUGGAAAGGCACUCUGCAGGUUCUGCCCUAUGCAGAGUACAGCAAUAUGGGGAGAAGGAGCUAUGGCACAUAGCUGCUGGGAGCUGCCAUUUUCCAGCCCCUGGCUGGCCCUGGGCAUUGUCCUGUUUUGUCUCAGCUCUUUUGGUGAGAUGCAGCAUCCCCAGCCUGUGCUGAUACCAUCCUUUGAAAGGUAUUGGGUUUCUAAACUCUGAAAAAGAGGUCAGGACAAAAGAAUAGCUCGAACCUCUGUGGGUGUAUGUUCUCUAGUAGAUAUUCAGGUGCUGCCUGUGAACCUAACUUAAAAAUAUCAAGAUAUCUUGAUACUAGAAAAAUCAAAAUACAUGGGUGUGACAUUUCUAGGCUUCCUCAUUUUUAAGCUAGAUAAAACCUCGUGUUUUUUUCCCUUGAUUUGCCUAGAAUUUGCAAAUAGAGUUGGCUUGACUGCAGCGAUGUGUCUUGGUGAAUGUUAUUUAGCACUGAGGCAGAAAAGCCCUCUGGUGUAGCAGUGAUUGAGUGGAGAAUAAAAAAGAAAGAUGAACGCGGGAAGAGGAAAAGGAGAGUUUGCAGGUGAGCUCUGAGAUGAAACAGAGGUCAUAAAGGACAGAGAGGGCUACAGGAAAUCUGUUCAUGAUGGCAGCAGGUGCAGAGGAGAGUUCUCAUACGCUGCUGUCAAUCUGAUGUGAAAGUACCGUACAAAGAAGCAGCCAUGUGUAGAUGAUGAGAAUCAGAGAGGCUGAAACAAGGAAUGGAAAGCAGAGAGGGCAAUUUUCAGCUGGCACGGGGGCUCAGGAAGUGGUUUGAGGAGGAAAGGGCACACAAGAGAGAUUGUUAGGAUUUGCCAGGAUUUGUGGUGCAGCAAGCAGUGCU
ensembl:lncRNA